CCUCAGGUUCGAAAUGACAUGAGGGUGAGCAAAUGAUGACAGAUUUUUCUUUUUUGGUCUUUAAACAUCUUCUUCUCUCUCUCUUUCUUUGUGCAGAGAACUGCAAAUAUGUGCUCCAAACAACACAUGGCUCAGAAUUUCAAGCCCCUAACUUUCUAGGAGGCAUAUCUGCAGCUGCAAGCCGCUGACAAACUCCAUCUUGUACAUCUAAGCCUGCAGAGAAGGGCUGGAUAUCUGCUAUAAAAAGCUCUCCUCCUGGGGCUGCCCCUUUACUGCAGCAGCAGCAGCAGCAGAAACAGCCGCUGGGUUUCUCUGGUGGCCACUGGUGCAGAGCAGAGUGCACUUGUCCUCACACAGCUCCGCAUCUGCUCCCACCCCUCCAGACCAGGGCUCCGACUGCCAGAGACACACGCACAAGAGAGGAACAGUGUGCCGAAACACUCUAACCUCCCAUUUUUCCACCCUUCAGCCGAAGAUUGAGACUCAAGGAGAAUAGACACGUCACGAGGUCUGGGUGUGCAUGUCCUGACUGUUUCUUUUUGCCAGAAGCUUUGUUCGAGAAAAAGCACAGUGUUCCUCUUAAGGAAAAGAAUGGAAAUGCCCUGCAGGAUGAUGUUCUCUGUCUCCCUCCAUCUCUCAGUGUCACUCACUCUUUCUUUUUCGUCUUCGGUUCUCCUUUUUGACCUGUUUUUUUGUACACUUCCGCUGUCUCUCAGAGCGACAGUCCAAAUCAAUGAAUGGUCCAACUGAAUGGACUACAUUGUGAAAGUCAGACAGGAAACAAUUUAUCUUUGCAUGCUCAAAAAAGAGCCUAACCUGUGGUGUGACUGUUUUUGGAGGGGGCUGGCAGACAUUGGGCUGAGACAGUGUCUGGGACUCAUGCAGGGCCGGGUGCUGGUAGGGAAGCUGCAUUCACCCCACAGCGGAGAGAGACAAACAGCCCAGCGCUAGAGGCUCAUCAUUCACACAUCCCAUAAUCCAUCUAUGCGCUGUGUUUAAGAGGACGAGAGGACUGUGUUUUAGUCCUCUAAUACCUGGGUAUGCACACACACGCCCAAAGAAACGCACACAUAAACACACACACACUCACUCACAAUGCAGAGUCAGCAGCAAUAGAAAGCAGUGCUCUGAAAAGAUAUUCAAACUCCACAGUAAUUACAGUGAAUAUACCUGACUGUGGGCUUUUCAAGUAAUCGGGGGUUUAUUUCUUCUUUUUAGCUUUUAUAAUAUAUCCAAAAAGUGAUUAUCUUUACUUUUAAGCAGUUUUCUUUUCUCGUAUGUGCAGACUUGUGCGCAAACUGAAUAUAAACUUGGGUGGAAAGUAUGAAAUAUUUUUG
ensembl:lncRNA